CCCUUAGAUGUUCUGGGCCGCACGCGCGCUACACUGACGAAUGCAACGAGCUUAUAACCUUGGCCGAAAGGUCUGGGUAAUCUCCAAAUUUCGUCGUGAUGGGGAUAGAUUAUUGCAAUUAUUAAUCUUCAACGAGGAAUGCCUAGUAAGCGCAAGUCAUCAGCUUGCGUUGAUUACGUCCCUGCCCUUUGUACACACCGCCCGUCGCACCUACCGAUUGAAUGGUCCGGUGAAUUCUUCGGACUGCGGCUUUGACUCGAUUUCGGUCGAGGCGUUGCUGCGGGAAGUUGAUUAAACCUUACCAUUUAGAGGAAGGUGAAGUCGUAACA
rnacentral:rRNA from 1 species